rnacentral:rRNA from 1 species
GACGAACGCUGGCGGCGCGCCUAACACAUGCAAGUCGAGCGGAACUAUUAGCAAUAGUAGUUUAGCGGCGGACGGGUGAGUAACGCGUGGGCAAUCUACCUUAAAGAGGGGGAUAACACAAAGAAAUUUGUGCUAAUACCGCAUGAAACAGUAGUAACGCAUGUUAGAACUGUCAAAGGAGAAAUCCGCUAUAAGAUGAGCCCGCGUCUGAUUAGCUAGUUGGUAGGGUAGAAGCCUACCAAGGCGACGAUCAGUAGCCGAACUGAGAGGUUGAACGGCCACAUUGGGACUGAGACACGGCCCAGACUCCUACGGGAGGCAGCAGUGGGGAAUAUUGCGCAAUGGGGGGAACCCUGACGCAGCGACGCCGCGUGGAGGAAGAAGGUUUUCGGAUUGUAAACUCCUGUCUACAGGGAAGAAAAAGACGGUAACCUGUGGAGGAAGCCCCGGCUAACUACGUG